UCACAUUUUGGAAUAAUUAAUUGAAACUAUAAAGAGGAGCGAUCAAAUGCUUUCCCUUAUGAAUUGCUAGCGCGGGAAAUUAUUUUCAAUUUCUUUUUCAAAUUUCACCACAAUGACCAAUGUUAUAGUAUAAUAUAAUGACCAUCCAUCCUUUCAUUCUUGAUUUUAUUAUUAUUUUAAAUGAAAUCUAAUUUUUUUUUAAAUCCAAUUGAAUUACUUUUUUUGAUUCUGAUUUUACAAUUCUGAUUUUUGUAAACGUUAAUUAAUAAAUUAAUUAAAAAAAGAAAGAGAGAGAAAGAAAAAAAAACAAAACGAAAACUUGGUUGAUCAUUCAUUCUUUUUAGGAUUUAAAUUAAAUAGUAAGAAAGAUUACAAAUUUGUUAGUUAAGGAUUUGUCGUGCCGUGUGAACGCGUGGAUAAACAAAAAUAAAAAAAAUAAAUUCAA